rnacentral:tRNA from 1 species
GCGGGUGUAACUCAGUGGUAGAGUGUCAGCUUCCCAAGCUGGAGGUCGCGGGUUCGAAUCCC